AUUGAACGCUGGCGGCAGGCCUAACACAUGCAAGUCGAGCGGAUGAAGGGAGCUUGCUCCUGGAUUCAGCGGCGGACGGGUGAGUAAUGCCUAGGAGUCUGCCUGGUAGUGGGGGAUAACGUCCGGAAACGGGCGCUAAUACCGCAUACGUCCUGAGGGAGAAAGUGGGGGAUCUUCGGACCUCACGCUAUCAGAUGAGCCUAGGUCGGAUUAGCUAGUUGGUGGGGUAAAGGCCUACCAAGGCGACGAUCCGUAACUGGUCUGAGAGGAUGAUCAGUCACACUGGAAGUGAGACACGGUCCAGACUCCUACGGGAGGCAGCAGUGGGGAAUAUUGGACAAUGGGCGAAAGCCUGAUCCAGCCAUGCCGCGUGUGUGAAGAAGGUCUUCGGAUUGUAAAGCACUUUAAGUUGGGAGGAAGGGCAGUAAGUUAAUACCUUGCUGUUUUGACGUUACCAACAGAAUAAGCACCGGCUAACUUCGUG
rnacentral:rRNA from 1 species